rnacentral:rRNA from 1 species
UACGAAGGGGACUAGCGUUGUUCGGAAUCACUGGGCGUAAAGGGCGUGUAGGCGGGAAGGAAAGUCGGGCGUGAAAUCCCUGGGCUCAACCCAGGAACUGCACUCGAAACUUCUUUUCUUGAGUGCCGGAGAGGAAGGCGGAAUACCUGGUGUAGAGGUGAAAUUCGUAGAUAUCAGGUGGAACACCAGUGGCGAAGGCGGCUUUCUGGACGGUAACUGACGCUGAGACGCGAAAGCGUGGGGAGCAAACAGG